rnacentral:rRNA from 1 species
AUUGAACGCUGGCGGCAGGCCUAACACAUGCAAGUCGAGCGGUAGAGAGAAGCUUGCUUCUCUUGAGAGCGGCGGACGGGUGAGUAAUGCCUAGGAAUCUGCCUGGUAGUGGGGGAUAACGUUCGGAAACGGACGCUAAUACCGCAUACGUCCUACGGGAGAAAGCAGGGGGCCUUCGGGCCUUGCGCUAUCAGAUGAGCCUAGGUCGGAUUAGCUAGUUGGUGGGGUAAUGGCUCACCAAGGCGACGAUCCGUAACUGGUCUGAGAGGAUGAUCAGUCACACUGGAACUGAGACACGGUCCAGACUCCUACGGGAGGCAGCAGUGGGGAAUAUUGGACAAUGGGCGAAAGCCUGAUCCAGCCAUGCCGCGUGUGUGAAGAAGGUCUUCGGAUUGUAAAGCACUUUAAGUUGGGAGGAAGGGUUGUAGAUUAAUACUCUGCAAUUUUGACGUUACCGACAGAAUAAGCACCGGCUAACUCUGUG